rnacentral:lncRNA from 1 species
CUGUUGGGUCAUAAUAUUUCUCCUAUCUUGGGCCGGAUAGAUUGGGCCCAUUUAUCAGUAUAAUCUAUUGGGCUUUUAUUAUUAAGCCAUGGGACUCUUUGAGCCCAUUUAUUGUGUCAACUUUAUUUAAUUCUAUUGGACCGGGUCAGACCAGUGGAUCGACCCAUUAGAUAUUUUAAUAUCUGUUACUUUGACUUGUGAUGAUGAAAAAGCAUGACAGUUGACCAAUCCUCCUG